GGGAAUGGCACAGAGAGCCCAGCCUGCCAGCUCCAAAGCUUUUCAAGCUGCACCCUCCACGUGCCUCCCGGGGUCUCCGCCAUCACUGCCCCGGAUCUCACUUUCUGGCCUGAAUCUUUGUUCUUUCGUCCCUGCAGACCCCCACUGCCAGCUGUCCCCCCCCCCCUCCCCACACCUGUGCAAAGCCCAUGCCAAGAAACCAGCCAUGUCCCAUGCCUGGAGCCCUCCCAACCCAUCAGUCCUAAACCUCUUGGCCAUUGGCCUGAGUCACAAACUAAGGAUACAAACCGACCCUCAAAUUAUUGUCACCUAUUUUGUCAUUACUAUCUGUCCACCCCCUCUCCCAAACCCUCUUUUUCAACUCUAGCUGUGGUGCAAGCCUCCCUCCUGACAAGUACAGAGGAAAGAAAACUGUGAGACAAAUCCAAAUCUCAGCAGGAAAAGGUUUCACAGAAAAGGAAUGACACAAACAGGACAGGACUCUGGGGCCAAGUACUCUCACAACAUAAUUUGGAAGACACCUGUCACUAACUAGGGACAGCUGCAAGUAAAUCUCCAGAAGCACAGGAAAGCAUCCAUGACUUUAAAUAAACACCUUUAUUGGGGCCCUAAUACAAAUGAUACCUGACAGUGGCUGAACCUCUGCCACUGGGAGUCAUGAGUUUUACUAGAUGGGAGUAUUUGGGGAAUUGCAAAUUCACCUAGAUGACACCUGUGGGUUCUUUCCUGGCCUAAAUCUAUCAUCUGUGAACCUGAGACAUAACAGACUAUCACCAACUACUGAGCCACAAAAAAGAUUUUGCCAAGCUGAAUCUGAGGAGGUAUCUGGAAGUAUUUUGAAGCAAUAAUGACCACCAUCAUCUCAGUUUCUCUUCUGUAGUAAAGCAUUUACUGACAAGAAUCAAAAAUGCCAACUGGGAAAGGUACGAGAUUUGCCUUAACCAAAAUGAUUUGUUUUUGGGGGGUGGGAAAGAAUCCUACUUGCUAAGAAGGAAGGGAAAAAAUGCUCUAAAUUUCAACCAAGAAUACAACCUGUUAAAACUUCAUGAAAAUGGUAGUCUGAUUUCCCGAAACAAUAUCUGCCUAGAUGUGUUUUCUAACUACAGCCUUUUUUUUUGAGCUUUAAAUAUACAUUUCAAACUACUAUCUAGUCCUUUUCACUGAAUGGCACUUCAAAGGCAAUAUGUUCAAAAGUAAAUUAAGUCUCUCCUUUGAAACUUGUUUUUCUCCUUUCUUUUCUAUAUAUAUGAUAAUGGAAACACCAUUCUCCAAAUAUCAAUUUUUUUUUCUAGCCCCUUACCUUCCAUUUUAUAAUCAAUACUAAGUUUUGGUUCCAAGGCAGAAGAAUAGUAAGGGCUAGGCAAUUGGGGUUAAGUGACCUGCCCAGGGUCACACAGCUAGGAAAUGUCAUGUCAUUUUUGAACCCAGGACCUUCCAACUCUAUGCCUGGCUCUCUAUCCACUAGGACACCUAGAUGCCCCAUUCCAAGUAAUUUCUUGCUUGAUACUUGACUCUUUUACUUCCUUCAUUCCCACAUAAUCAGUAAUUAAUCAAGGUCUAUUUAUUCUUUGUCUCUUGAUCUCAGAUUUAUCUCCAUGACUCAGUCUAAUUUCUACCUCUAUUACUUCUUGGCUGGACUACUGAAAUAUUUACCUAACUUUGGGAUAGCUAGCUGGUACAGUGGACAGACUACCUGAUCUGGAUUCAAGAUCUUAGUUUAAAUUCAGCCUCAGAUACUUCCUAGUUGUGUAAACCUGGGAAAGUCACUUAACCUUUGCAUUGUUUCCUUAUCUGUAAAAUAUAGGGAUAAUAAUAGCACCUACCCCUUGGGGCUGUUGUGAAGCUUAAAUGAAAUAAUAUUUGUAAAAAACACUUAGCACAACGCUUGGCACAUAAUUACCAUCAUCAUUAAUUUUUAUAAUUAUUAUUAUUCUAAACAUUUCAAAUAAAUCUUGUUAAUGCAUAUGAAACUAAUAUCUAGAGCUCCUAGGUCUUUGGGCUUCCCAUUGCUAAAGGAAUAAAAUAAAUCCAAACUUUCUUGGUCUUAUACUCAACACCCUGAAUACUCUGGCUCUCACCUUUCUUUGUGCUCAUUUUAGCUCAUUUUCCUCUUUGUCCUCAAACCCAAAUAGGCACUCACCAGAACUACAUGCAUCUCAUACUGCCUUGUUUCUUUGCCCAUUUGCUAAUGCCAUUUCCUACCUCUGGAAUGUACCUUUCCACAAUUUUGCCCUACUAAAAUGAUAUUCUUCCUUAAUUACUAGCUCCAGUGCUAACUCCUCUUUCAAAUCUUUCUUGAGACUCCAACCUGAAGUCACCUUUCCCUCCUAUGAAUUCUCCUAUCAUUUUGCUUCUACUUCCCUUAUACAUUGACCUCAUUCUAUGUUGUACUAUUGUUAACUCUGUUCAUGCCUGAUUUCCUCCAUUAGAUCAUAAAAUAAUCCCCUUGAGGGGAGGGACCUAGGCUUGUCUUUGUAUUCUUUCUUUGUCCAAAUCAUGUAUCCUUACAAAAAAAUGGAUGCUUAAUGAAUGUGUAUUGAAUUAAUGAAGAGCUCCCUCAAUAGCUUUUGAUCAUAUAAGCUGAUUUUAACCAUAUUUUAAAGGGGCAAAUUACUUGAAAUUAAGUUUCCAUUUUUUUAUUAGCAGAUAAGUGAGAUAGGUUCUCAUUGAAUCAAUUAAUUGCCUGUCUUCUAAAUUCUACAUCUUAUUUGGUUGACCUAUAUCUUUUGUCAUCACUUGGAAGCCAGGCACUAAAGCCUUCCUGAAUCUACCAGAGACUGGAUCUCCACGGAGCAGGUCAAAUGUAACAUCUGUGGUUGUAUUUGAGUACAGGUGGGAACCUCUCAGCAUCUCGGGACUUACCUUUUUUUGCAGAGGAAAAAGGGAGAUGAGUGAAAAAGGGCUUGGAAAUACCAAGACAAGUGCAAGAGAGGAUCCAGCACUUUCAAUUAAACCAGUUUAAGGUUAUCUCAAGGCACAAACCAAGAAAUAAUCAGGCUUCAUUAAUGAGUACUUGUCUGGAUUGCUGCCUUCGGUCCUACUGAAACAUUACUCAGAGUAGACUCUUUUUAAGGACCUGGAGAUGGCAAGAGUUAAGUUUGACCCUUUUACUAUGGGUCUUCCUCACUAAAAAAUGUCUGGGACCUAGCUAAGUUACAUAUAUUCAAGAAGAAUGCUAUCAUUUCUUGUGGUUAUUCCAACUGGAGUGACUGCUGAAUGUUCUUGAUAUAGAAGGCUAGCAAAACUAAAGGAAAAUUUUACUUUCUUCCACAUUCCCAGAACUUAGGUCCUUUGAGCAGAUCUAUUCCUAUUCUUUGGUUCUUGGACUUCUUUUUUAAAUUCUGGACACUGAAAAAAAUGAGGAAUUUGCUGCUUAUUAUCCACCAUGUCUAACUUAAUAGGCAAAGGGCUAUACCAAUAUACUUCAAGAUAUAUCCAUUUCCUAGAACAGGGUAGGCACUUACAAGUUGUAUCCUAAGAAUUGAACCACUUACCAUUGAAAUGGAGAAUAGAGAGUUAUCAAAAGAUAUAUCUGUAUAGGGAGAAGAGCAAAAGACAGAUCUAGAGCAUUAUUUUAAAAAAAUUAUCACCCACCUAUGGCCCCUACACUCUAGGAUGAGUCAAAUGAUUAAGAUACUUCCUUUCUCCCAGAACUCUUGUUCUCUUACAAAGGAAAAAGGGAAACCUACAAAAAGAACCUUUUCAAAUAUAAGGACCUAAGUAUCAAUUUACCUCCUUACAUCUUCAUGGUAAAGACUUCCAUAAGCUCCCCUAGUCAUUAGCAACCCUUGCCCAUAUGACCUCAUACAUUUCAUAUAUUUUGUUUAAUAUCUCUAAUGUAUUUCAUCCUAUAAUAUUAGAUACUGUCAUUAUUUUUGUAUCAUCUUCCAAGUAGUUCCAUUAGUAAAGGAACUGUUUGAUCUAAACUUUGUAUCUCCCCCAGCCUUGUAGUUCUGCAUAGAGUAGGUACUUAAUAUUUGCUGAAUAAACAUAUCAAGUAAAAAACUAGACCUUUUAUUUCCAUGGCAAAGUUAGCAUAAGCAGCUGGACAGCUCCCUUUGAUCCCUUUUAUUUUUAAGAUCUAGGACCAAGAGUGAAAGGGAAGAGAAGACAAAAAGUCUUAGAGGCUGAGGAUAGUUUCCUUGCCUUUAUCAUCACUUCUUAUAAGGAAACCAUUAAUUGUAUAGCCAGAGCAAUGAAGUUGGCUAUAACUAGAAACUUCAGGUUUGAAAAGUGAGGGUGAGCUAAUGCCCUAUAGCCAGACAUUCCCAAAAGCCAUAACUUCAAUACUCAUAUUGGGGAAAAUUCCAGAACUAGUCUAACUUACGGGUCACCAGUCCCCUCUGACAUUGGAAGAAGUUGGUUAUAUAAGACAAGUGGUACAGAAAGAGCCUAUGGUGGCUAUGCUAUUCAAUUUGGGGCUAGGGAUACACACCUGAAGUGGUAUAAUUUAUCUUUGUCCAGCAGGAUUCUUGCUCUCUGCAAAUGAAAUAAGAAUAGAGUAAAAUCUACUCUUCUGGUUUAAAUGUUCUUGAAAAGCAACUUCAGGGCAAAGCUAGAUGACUCAGUGGAUUGAGAGCCAGGACUAGAAAUGAAAGAUCCUAGGUUCAAAUCUGGCCUCAGAUACUUCCUAGCUAGGUGACCCUGGGCAAGUCACUUGACCCUCCCUCCUCCAUUGCCUAGCCCUUACCACUCUUCUGCCUUGGAAACAAUACAUUUUAUUGAUUCUAAGAUGAAAGGUAAGGAUUUUAAUAAAAAUUAAGAAAAAAAGAAAAGCAAUUUCAGGCCUCUCUUAUUUACUCAUAUUGUCCCAUUUUGCAUUAUUGUUAUUUGUGCAGAUUUUACAUUCUACAGAACAUCCCAAAAGUCUUGGUACAGUUUGACACUAUUAAGGGUAUAAGGGUAGGAACUGAAUUUUAUUGAUCUUUCUAUGUCCUUCAGCACACUCUCUAAACAUAACUGGAGUUUAAAUGUUUUUUGAACUGAAUUUGUGUUAUCAAAUUGGUUGAUAAAUAGAUAUAAGGCAUGAUUAUAAAGAAAUGUUGCUGAUUCCGCAAGCCACAAAUGAAUAUGGUGCUUGAGUGAAGUGAGUUAAGAAAAUGCCAUUUAGCCUAAUACUAAGAAAGACUUUGCUUAUUUUCCAAACAGGAAAAUAAUGGGAGACCCAGAGAAAGGUUUAAAUACUAGGUUCCCCAGAAACCUCUAGAACCCACUUUUUACUUUGAAUUUCAACAAUAAAAUGAAAGAUUGCCUCCAUGGCACAGGUACCUUCCACCCCAAAGCAGGCUGUCUUAGUUUAGGAUCAAAGAGGGAGAUCCCAGAGACUCCAAAAGAAGUCACUCAUACUUUUUUCAUCCACACUCCCUGAACCAUUUAUUUUCUAAUAAUAUUCUGAUUUUACCCACAUCAUCCUAGGCUAAAGGGUAUAGUAACUGAUGUUUACCCUACCAUAUGCCUUCUGAAGUUCUCCUGGACCCAUCUCACCUUUUUUUCUGAAGGUUUGUGACUUUAACUGGCAAAAACAAAAACAACAAAGAACAAAGCAAUAUUAGAAUGUUCAUCCAAAAUGUUCACAUAGCAAAGAGCAAUUCUCUAAAGUCUUGGCAAUAAUUCUAGAGCCAAAGUUGGCACUUCCAGGGCCUAAUCUGACUUUUCUGUUUUACUGAGGGAAAAUUAGUCUGGCAGUAACUUGUCACAUAUAUUCUAAGGGAGUCAGUAAUCCUUAUGUGAAGCAGUCUUCUUUAGGAAACUGAGGCUUUGGGAGGAUUCUGGGAAGGAAAGAAUUCCCUCCUCCCCCCACAGGUCAAAACAUUUCCGAACAUUUAAGAGUAGGGUAAGUCCCCCCCCCCCCCACAGAUAAGAAAUUCAUAUACCUCU